CAAGUUUCGAAUAUUCUGGAAAUAUCACACGUUACUAUAAUUUACUCUCUCUCUUUCUCCCUGCAGACUACAAGGAAACAGGGCUAAGACUCAAACAAAAACACAAGAAACCAAAGCCUUCUUCUGAGAAGUUGUAAGAGGCCAGGAGAGGUCCUUAAUUAAACAUCAGAGAUCAAGGAGAAGAAAAGCACACUUCAGUUCCUAACGCUUUCAGGCAAUCAUGCAAUUCAAGCCCAGCUAUCUGGUGACCGGUGUGUUGUAAGCAAGGCGAGGGACCUCGGAGGACCCAGAUGAUGCCUGAGGCACUGGUGAUGGGAACCCACGGAGUUCUGUCUCUCCUCCAGCUGACCUGGCCUUCAGAUGUGAUCCCAUGGGAGGUAGCAGACCUCGUGGUGGGCUGUAUGUCCACCUGGGACACUGGCUGGCUCUCCAGCCCUGCUUCACUUCACCCCAACCUGCAAGAGGGCACCACCAGGGGCUCUGCAAAGCACUGGGCUCUGUGAGGCCACCUUCAGACCCAGCGCACCCUUGCCAGCAGGCAGCUCUUGGCUGACAUCAGCGCAGAACUACAGGGGCCACCUUGACUGACAGCUGUGGCAUCCAAUGACACCACUUGCUGGGCAAGUCCUUUGAUCAUUCUGAAGCUCAGGCCUGUAACACGGAAAUGAGACCCGCCCCACCUCUUUCUGUGGGUUGCUGUCAAAAUCAAAUGGGAUCAUAGAAGUGCUUUGAAAAAGAAAAAGCAAUAUUCAAAUAUAAAAUGCUAGAUUACCUUUUUUUUUUUUUUUGUGAAGGUUGUCAGGGCCCAAACAAAAAAGAUUUUUCAGUUUUACCAUUUAAUAAUAAAUCAAGUCUAUCAGAAGCUUGAUAACA
rnacentral:lncRNA from 1 species